UUGCUUCUCUUGAGAGCGGCGGACGGGUGAGUAAUGCCUAGGAAUCUGCCUGGUAGUGGGGGAUAACGUCCGGAAACGGACGCUAAUACCGCAUACGUCCUACGGGAGAAAGCAGGGGACCUUCGGGCCUUGCGCUAUCAGAUGAGCCUAGGUCGGAUUAGCUAGUUGGUGGGGUAAUGGCUCACCAAGGCGACGAUCCGUAACUGGUCUGAGAGGAUGAUCAGUCACACUGGAACUGAGACACGGUCCAGACUCCUACGGGAGGCAGCAGUGGGGAAUAUUGGACAAUGGGCGAAAGCCUGAUCCAGCCAUGCCGCGUGUGUGAAGAAGGUCUUCGGAUUGUAAAGCACUUUAAGUUGGGAGGAAGGGCAGUAAAUUAAUACUUUGCUGUUUUGACGUUACCGACAGAAUAAGCACCGGCUAACUCUGUGCCAGCAGCCGCGGUAAUACAGAGGGUGCAAGCGUUAAUCGGAAUUACUGGGCGUAAAGCGCGCGUAGGUGGUUCGUUAAGUUGGAUGUGAAAUCCCCGGGCUCAACCUGGGAACUGCAUUCAAAACUGACGAGCUAGAGUAUGGUAGAGGGUGGUGGAAUUUCCUGUGUAGCGGUGAAAUGCGUAGAUAUAGGA
rnacentral:rRNA from 1 species